GACAGAGGGUGCAAACGUUGUUCGGAAUGACUGGGCGUAAGGCGCGUGUAGGCGGCUCGGCAAGUCGGAUGUGAAAGCCCUGGGCUCAACCCAGGAAGUGCACUCGAAACUGCCGAGCUGGAGUCCCGGAGAGGAAGGCGGAAUUCUCGGUGUAGAGGUGAAAUUCGUAGAUAUCGAGAGGAACACCGGUGGCGAAGGCGGCCUUCUGGACGGCGACUGACGCUGAGACGCGAAAGCGUGGGGAGCAAACAGG
rnacentral:rRNA from 1 species